rnacentral:rRNA from 1 species
AGCGAACGCUGGCGGCAGGCCUAACACAUGCAAGUCGAACGAACCCUUCGGGGUUAGUGGCGGACGGGUGAGUAACACGUGGGAACGUGCCUUUAGGUUCGGAAUAGCUCAGGGAAACUUGUGCUAAUACCGACUGUGCCCUUCGGGGGAAAAAUUUAUCGCCUUUAGAGCGGCCCGCGUCUGAUUAGCUAGUUGGUGAGGUAAAGGCUCACCAAGGCGGCGAUCAGUAGCUGGUCUGAGAGGAUGAUCAGCCACAUUGGGACUGAGACACGGGCCAAACUCCUACGGGAGGCAGCAGUGGGGAAUCUUGCGCAAUGGGCGAAAGCCUGACGCAGCCAUGCCGCGUGAAUGAUGAAGGUCUUAGGAUUGUAAAAUUCUUUCACCGGGGACGAUAAUGACGGUACCCGGAGAAGAAGCCCCGGCUAACUUCGUGCCAGCCGCCGCGGUAAGAC